CCUACGGGCGGCAGCAGUGAGGAAUAUUGGUCAAUGGGCGGAAGCCUGAACCAGCCAAGUAGCGUGCGGGAUGAAGGCCCUACGGGUCGUAAACCGCUUUUGCACGGGGAUAACACCCUCCACUUGUGGAGGUCUGCAGGUACCGUGCGAAUACGGGCCGGCAAAUUCCGUGCCGGCAGCAGCGGUAAUACGGAAGGCCCGAGCGUUAUCCGGAUUCAUUGGGCUUAAGGGGAGCGUAGGCGGGAGUUCAAGUCAGCUGUAAAAGCGCGCGGCUCAACCGCGCCCCGCAGUUGAAACUGGACGUCUUGAGUAAACAACAGGCAGGCGGAAUACGUGGUGUAGCGGUGAAAUGCAUAGAUAUCACGAGGAACCCCGAUGGCGAAGGCAGCCUGCCGGGGUGCGACUGACGCUGAGGCUCGAAGGUGCGGGGAUCAAACAGGAUUAGAUACCCUGGUAGUC
rnacentral:rRNA from 1 species